CACACAAACACUCUAACAAUUACACACACACUCUAACACUAACACACACACACUCUAACAAUUACACACACACUCUAACACUAACACACACACACUCUAACACUAACACACACACACGAACACACACACACUCUAACACAUAUACUUUUAUUUUUUAAAUUUAAUCCCCCAGCCUCCUUACCUUUUGGAGAGCUAAGGGGAUUACCUGGGGUCCAGUGGUGUUGCUGGCCCUGCUGUCA